GGUUAAGCGACUAAGCGUACACGGUGGAUGCCCUGGCAGUCAGAGGCGAUGAAGGACGUGCUAAUCUGCGAUAAGCGUCGGUAAGGUGAUAUGAACCGUUAUAACCGGCGAUUUCCGAAUGGGGAAACCCAGUGUGAUUCGUCACACUAUCAUUAACUGAAUCCAUAGGUUAAUGAGGCGAACCGGGGGAACUGAAACAUCUAAGUACCCCGAGGAAAAGAAAUCAACCGAGAUUCCCCCAGUAGCGGCGAGCGAACGGGGAGCAGCCCAGAGCCUGAAUCAGU
rnacentral:rRNA from 3 species